rnacentral:rRNA from 1 species
UUUGGUCAUUUAGAGGAAGUAAAAGUCGUAACAAGGUUUCCGUAGGUGAACCUGCGGAAGGAUCAUUACCUAGAGUUGUAGGCUUUGCCUGCUAUCUCUUACCCAUGUCUUUUGAGUACCUUACGUUUCCUCGGCGGGUCCGCCCGCCGGUUGGACAUACCUAAACCCUUUGCAGUUGAAAUCAGCGUCUGAAAAAACUUAAUAGUUACAACUUUCAACAACGGAUCUCUUGGUUCUGGCAUCGAUGAAGAACGCAGCGAAAUGCGAUAAGUAGUGUGAAUUGCAGAAUUCAGUGAAUCACCGAAUCUUUGAACGCACAUUGCGCCCCUUGGUAUUCCAUGGGGCAUGCCUGUUCGAGCGUCAUUUGUACCUUCAAGCUCUGCUUGGUGUUGGGUGUUUGUCUCGUGUAGACUCGCCUCAAAACAAUUGGCAGCCGGCGUAUUGAUUUCGGAGCGCAGUACAUCUCGCGCUUUGCACUCAUAACGACGACGUCCAAAAGUACAUUUUUUUACGCUUGACCUCGGAUCAGGUAGGGAUACCCGCUGAACUUAAGCAUAUCAAUAAGCCGGAGGAAU